CCUACGGGAGGCAGCAGUGAGGAAUAUUGGUCAAUGGACGAGAGUCUGAACCAGCCAAGUAGCGUGAAGGAUGACUGCCCUAUGGGUUGUAAACUUCUUUUAUAAAGGAAUAAAACGAGGCACGUGUGCCUUUUUGCAUGUACUUUAUGAAUAAGCAUCGGCUAACUCCGUGCCAGCAGCCGCGGUAAUACGGAGGAUCCGAGCGUUAUCCGGAUUUAUUGGGUUUAAAGGGAGCGUAGAUGGGUUGUUAAGUCAGUUGUGAAAGGUUGCGGCUCAACCGUAAAAUUGCAGUUGAUACUGGCAGUCUUGAGUAGGGGUGAGGUAGGCGGAAUUCGUGGUGUAGCGGUGAAAUGCAUAGAUAUCACGAAGAACCCCGAUUGCGAAGGCAGCUUACUAAACUGUGACUGACAUUGAGGCUCGAAAGUGUGGGUAUCAAACAGGAUUAGAUACCCCGGUAGUC
rnacentral:rRNA from 1 species